AUCUAGGCCACAGAAUCUAUCAAGCACUGCAUCCCUUUAGCUCUGCAAAUUUAAGCUGGAUAUCGCUCAAUCAGUACCAAGGUGGGGGACGACUUGGGAAUCUUGGGUGCUGUAGUUC
rfam:Kwoniella mangroviensis CBS 10435 unplaced genomic scaffold supercont2.2, whole genome shotgun sequence.